UAAUUUAUAAAUACUUUAAUUAUUAUUCAUAUUACCAGUCACUCUAUCUUUACCAUGUAUGCUUUAAGGUCAGUCACAGAAUCAACAGGCUUGAAGGUUCACAUGCACAUGAAGGUUCUUCAUGUGCAGGUGUUUGUCAAAGAUACAAAACACAAAGAAAAAAACAAACACACAAACAAACUAACAAACUGAUACUGCGUGUUUUUAUAUAUAUUUUUUUUAUUACAGCGCGUGGGAGACAGAAACGGCUGUUAAAGUUGACUUACAGACACGUCAUCACUUGGACGUGCAAUUACGUGUCCCUGGAGCAAAGAUACAGAAUUAUCUCGGUCACUUUUCUGUCUUUCCAUUUGUUUGCAUCUCUCCUUCGUCCGUAGUGGGGUAAGUUGAACCCGAAGUAUAUAUAUAUACAUAAACGCACGUGCGCGCUCCGUAUGAUAUUGUUCCUGUAGGGGUCGCUGUGUCCUCGUUGUCCAACAGCAGCAGCAGCAGCAGGUGGAGUGGAGCAGGGACAGAGUGUUGAUCAGCAGCGGUCAGACUGGGAUUUCUUCUUCCGCUCGGCUUCACUUUCAGCGCUUUCUCUUCUGGAAAUUAUCCGCUGGAGACGGAGCUUCGUCGGGAAGAGCGCGGAGCUUUUCCAGCCGAUCAAAGGACACCAUGCUUUACUUCUGGAUACACACCGUGUGGAUCCCCGGCGUCGCUUUCCUCGUUGGAUUUCAAGGCAAGGGAUGGUUUGAUUCUUUUCAUUUCAUGUGCUGACAUGGUUUUCUACUAGGAAACAGUGGAGAUGAGAGAGCAGUGACAACUGCCCACAGUGGAUGUUUCUUGUGCUUCUGUCCGUCUGCUGCUGACUCGAGUUCUGAAGGUAUGUGAAGUGACUUCCUUCCCUGACAGACACAGAGAGAGAGACUCAGACAUAUCUUCCUACUCUUCCUCAUGCUGACUUUCAGCUGUUGGCAGAUCCAGCAAAGCUCUGUUUGCUCUGUUUAAAGUAGUUCAUGAUCUGAUCUGAAAGCAGUCUUUGGCUGAAUCUCGGUUUCCUUCCUAAACCCUAAACUCUGGUUGAGUGAA